rnacentral:tRNA from 1 species
GGGGCUGUAGCUCAGUUGGUUAGAGCGGUUAUCUUUGAUAGAAAUUGAACAAGAUUUCUAUCCGGCAGAGAUAGCGCCAAAGAUGACAGGUCGGAGGUUCAAUUCCUCCCGGCUCCACCA